UGUAAAUAAUUUUUAAAUAUCUAUAAUGUAAAUGUGUCCCUAUAAUCUCACUGUUCCAUAACCUAGAAGAUAACUAAUAUUAAUAGUUUGAGAUAUAUAUAUAUAUAUUUCUCCUUCUAGUCUUUUAAUAUAGGCCAUAGCAAAUGCAGUUGACCCUUGAACAACACAGGACUUGAAAUGUGUGGAUUUUUUAAAAAUAAAUUCAGUACAGUACUAUAAAUAUAUUUUCUCUUCGUUAUAAUUUUCUUAAUUAAAAAAACAUUCUUUUCUCUAGCUUAUUUUAUUGUAAGAUGCAGUAGGUAAUACAUAUAACAUACAAAUACGUGUUAGUUGACUAUUUUAUUGUUAAAGCUUCUGGUCAACAGUAGGCUAUUAGUUGUUAAGUUUUGGGGAAAUCAGAAGUUAUAGGCAGAUUUUCAACUGUGUGGAGGCCGGAGCCCCUAGCCCCCUGAGUUGCUCAAGGGUCAGCUGUAAUUGGCAGUUUCUCAAACAAAGAAUCCUCCCUCUCACUUGUCUUCUGGCCUUUGCCCAGGCUGCUCCAUAAGUGUUUUGUCCCUGUGCUCCUCCUGUUAUCCCUGCUCCCAUUCUUUUCCUCCACCUAACUGCUGUUCAAUCCCUCUUCCCCUUUCACAACAGCACUCAAGUAUUUCUUUCUCUUGUAUUUCUUGGUCCUCUAGCUCCCACUCCAAGCUGGGCUGAAUUGUGCCACCUUUCUGUGUCCCCAUAAUACCUUGUGCAUUCCACUUGCAGUACUUUUCAAGGCCAGGUCUGGGUUUUAAUUAUUUUUGUGUUUUCAGCAUCUGGAACAGUGGUAAGCACCCAAUGACUGAAAGAAUUCACUGCAUUAGUAAGGUACAGAUACCUAUUUUCUUUCUUCUCUAAAAUGUCUUUUUCUCCACACAUACUGAUUUUCUGCCACUUCACAGCUUCUUGUGGUAGGGAUCUCUCUUCAGUAUUUGAAACUAACCAGUAUUUUACAGAUUUCGAGUUUGUAAAAAAAAAAAAAAAAAAACCCUGGAAGAUUCAGGAACGAAGCUUCUGUGUGAAGGAUUAAAACAGCCAAACUGUAUCUUAUGGACAUUGAGGUUGUACCGAUGCCUUAUCUCUCCUGCUUCUUGUGGGUACUGGCAGCUAUUCUCAGUACCAGUCAGUGGCUCACUGAUCUGGAAUUUAGUGAAACCAGAUUGGAAGCUUCAGCUUUGAAAUUGCUUUGUGAAGGCUUAAAAGAUCCAAACUGCAAAUUACGGAAGUUCAAGUAAGCUGUAACUAUUAGUUUCCUUGCUGCAAGAAAAAAAAAUUUAAAUAUGCAACUCAAGAUGGAUGUUUUGUGAUCAAAACACAUUUCAAGGAAUCAUGGAGAGGAAGAAUAAAAGUGACAGUCCCUAAAAUUGUUCUUAUGCAAGAAGUUUAGGAAAAGAAUUUUCAUUAGAUCACAAGUUGGCAGAGAGAGAGGAGGAAGCAGGCUCCCUACUGAGCAGAGAGCCCAAUGUGGGGCUUGAUCCCAGGACCCUGAGAUCAUGACUUGAGCCGAAGGCAGAGGCUUUAAUCCACUGAGACACCCAGGUGCCUCCACUUAUAACUUUUGACCCUCCAAAAGCUUAACUGCUAAUAGCCUGCUUUUGACUGGAAGCCAAAUCAUGAACAGUUGAUUGACACAUACUCUGUAUGUGAUAUGUUUUAUAUAUGUAUUGUUACAAGAAAGUAAGCUGGGGAAAAGAUGUUAACUAAGAAAAUCACGAGGAAGGGAAAAUACAUUUAUAGCACUGGAGUAUAUUUAUUAAAAAAUUGGUGUUUAAGUGAACCCAUGAUUUCAAACCUGUGUUCAGGGGCCAACUGUAUUGAGAUUUAUUUUAAGGAAUUGACUCAUAAGGAUUAGGAUGGCUGUCAAGUUCAAUAUUUGCAAGGUAGGCCAACAUGCUGGAGACACAGGGAAAAGCUCAUAUUACAUUUCAAGUCUGAAGGCAUUCUGCUGGGAGAAUUCUCUCCUCUUCCCCAGGGAGGUCAGUCUGUUUCUAUAAAAACUUUCAACUGAUUAGGUGAGGCCAACCCAAGUUAUGGAGGGUAAAUUACUCAAAGUCUACUGAUUUAAAUGUUAAUCUCAUCUAAAAAGUACCUUCCCAGAUACAUCUAGAAUAAUUUUGACCAAAUAUCUAGAUGUAUAACCUAGCCAAUGUGACACAAUUAACUAUCACUAACAUAUCAAUAUAUAUGUGGGUUUAUUUAUAUUUUUUAAAGUAGACUUCAUACCCAGUGUGGAGCCCAAUUCAGGCUUUUAACUCAUGACUCUGAGAUCAAGACCUGAACAAAGAUCAAGAGUCAGAUGCUUAGCCAACUGAGCCACCCAGGCACCCCUAUGUGUGGGGUUUUAAAAGCAAAAGCUCUUUAACAUUGAAGUUUUCUAAAAUCUACUUUGAAACCCCUUUUUUACCCCACCAAAAUACCUCUUUUUAAAAUUCUAAAUUGAGGAGAUAUAGACAUGUGUACCUAUGAGCCUUCUGGAAGGCUAAGGUUGGAGCCUGGUUAACUCAAGAGAAAAUUGAGGACUCAAAGAUUAUAAUAUAUAUCAUAGAAAUUCCUGAAAGUAAUGGGAAAAAAAGUUGAUCGGUUUCAAGAAAUUGUGCUAUUUAAUAUGGAGAAACAAAGAUUGAGAAGACAGGAAGAUUGGUAAAAAACCACUCUUCAUCCCAAAGAAGGAAUAUUACAUGGUUGAUGAUGGUGGGCUGGGUCUCUAGGAUGGAAAAUUUAUAAAUAAUGGACUUUUAGAUCUUUUGACUAUAAAGCUUAUUAAAGAUAUACCAUUUCCCCCAUGGGAUUUGAAAGAAGCUCUGAGAUAGAAUUUUAAAUUUAUGUUGUGUACAAUUGUGUAAUGAAGUGCCCAACACUGGAAUCAUUUAAAAAUGCCAGAUGAGCCCAGGAAAAGGUAGGAGGCCACUGUGGGCUGGAGACCUCAGGAGGUGGCUUUGUAAAGGAGGUGUGCCAGGAGCUGGAACUUGAAGGAAGACUAGGAAAACAGAAAACUUAGACAGCAGUGGCUGAUUUUUCUUCUUUUUCUCUUGGUAGCUUGAGCACAUGUUACCUACCAGAUGCUAGCUGUAUGGAGCUCUCUUCUUUCUUGCAUGUGAGUCAGACUUUAAAAGAGCUGUUUGCGUUUGCCAAUGCCGUAGGGGACACAGGAGUACAGCUUCUCUGUGAAGGUCUGCAGCAUGCAAAGGCUAUUCUCCAGAAUCUUGUGUAAGUGUCUGAUUAUCCUUGUUCUCACAGACCUUGGCACUUGAGGUUCAGUAGGACUCUAUGGUUAACAGCCGCCCUGGUAUCCCCAUUCCUUCAGAC